GAUGAACGCUAGCGGCAGGCUUAGUACAUGCAAGUCGAGGGGCAGCAGGUCUGUAGCAAUACAGAUGCUGGCGACCGGCAAACGGGUGCGGAACACGUACAGAACCUUCCUUUAAGUGGGGAAUAGCCCAGGGAAACUUGGAUUAAUACCCCGUAAUGUGAUAAAGUGGUAUCACUGUAUUAUUAUAGCUCCGGCGCUUAAAGAUGGCUGUGCGGCUGAUUAGGUAGUUGGCGGGGUAACGGCCCACCAAGCCUACGAUCAGUAACUGGUGUGAGAGCACGACCAGUCACACGGGCACUGAGACACGGGCCCGACUCCUACGGGAGGCAGCAGUAAGGAAUAUUGGGCAAUGGACGCAAGUCUGACCCAGCCAUGCCGCGUGGAGGAUGAAGGUCCUCUGGAUUGUAAACUUCUUUUAUCUGGGAAGAAAUCUAUUUUUUCUAAAGUAGUUGACGGUACCAGAUGAAUAAGCACCGGCUAACUCCGUGCCAGCAGCCGCCGUAAGAC
rnacentral:rRNA from 1 species